UAGGGAAUCUUCCACAAUGGACGCAAGUCUGAUGGAGCAACGCCGCGUGAGUGAAGAAGGUUUUCGGACCGUAAAGCUCUGUUGUUGGUGAAGAAGGAUAGAGGUAGUAACUGGCCUUUAUUUGACGGUAAUCAACCAGAAAGUCACGGCUAGCUACGUGCCAGCAGCCGCGGUAAUACGUAGGUGGCAAGCGUUGUCCGGAUUUAUUGGGCGUAAAGCGAGCGCAGGCGGAAGAAUAAGUCUGAUGUGAAAGCCCUCGGCUUAACCGAGGAAUUGCAUCGGAAACUGUUUUCUUGAGUGCAGAAGAGGAGAGUAGAACUCCAUGUGUAGCGGUGGAAUGCGUAGAUAUAUGGAAGAAUACCAGUGGCGAAGGCGGCUCUCUGGUCUGCAAACUGACGCUGAGGCUCGAAAGCAUGGGUAGCGAACAGGAUUAGAUACCCUGGUGAGUCCAUGCCGUAAACGAUGAGUGCUAAGUGUUGGGAGGCUUCCGCCUCUCAGUGCUGCAGCUAACGCAUUAAGCACUCCGCCUGGGGGAGUACGACCGCAAGGUUGAAAC
rnacentral:rRNA from 1 species